ensembl:lncRNA
GUUCUGCCCAGCGAAUGACGUUCUUUCUUAAAGGCCCAACCGCUCAGCGAUGACUCCAGAUAGAUUCCUUAACUGAACUUCAGCGGCUGCCUGCCGUUCAGACCUCUAAGACAUCGUCUUUUUGAAGUCUUCUACCAACAGAUCUCGCUGAGAAACAAUAUGAAAUAAAAAAUACUUUUUCCUCUAGGAUUUUUUUAGUAACCCAAGGGUGCUGUGUUUUCUUCUUGGUCUGCGUGAUAAGAAGAGUAACAGCUAAGGACAGUAGCACACAUGUGUAAUUCCAGAGGCUAAAGCAGGAGGAUUGCAAACUUGAGUAGAGCCUGGGCAAUUUAGAAGCUUAGCAAGACCCUGUCUCAAAACAGAAAACAGAAGAAGGAAGAGAUACCACACAGCAAUUACCUCUUAUGAAACUACUUUUUGGUAUAGAUGCUAAAGAAAACUAUUCACAAUUCUCUGGAAAUACUGAAAUGUUCUUCUUUUUGCCAAAAGCAUAUCCUUAGGAGGUCAAAUCUUCUUUAUAUUUCAACCAAAAAUAGCAGAUUGGAAGCAAAACCAGGUAAUCUUUUAGCCACAAUGAAUAUUGAAGAGAAGAGAAGGCAAGGGACAGAAGGAGAGAGUAUACCAAGAAUUAGAAGCAACUCCUCCAAGACACUACCCACACUUUCUAAGAUCAUCUGGUUUAUUUCUCAGAAAAAUCCUUCAGAUGGGAAUUAUCUGGACCUCCUGCACCUGAACCACAUCAAGAUUCAGCCUUCCUUCCUUCCUCUCAGGCAAAGGAGGUCUUAAAAUCCUCCCACCUGUGGGCC